CGAUACUUGGUGUGAAUUGCAGAAUUCAGGGAAUCAUCGAGUCUUUGAACUCACAUUGGGCCGCCUGGUAUUCCGGGGGGCAUGCCUGUCCGAGCGUCAUUGCUGCCCUCAAGCCCGGCUUGUGUGUUGGGACGGCUGUCCCCCUCUCCGGGGGGACGGGCCUUUCGAAAGGGUCAGCGGCGGCAGAGGGUCACGAUCCUCGAGCGUAUGGGGCUUUGUUACAUGCUCUGUAAUGAUUGUCCGGCACCUGUGCACGACGUCUUUGCAACCCUUCUGUUCCACGGGUGACCUCAAAUAAUGUAUGAAUACCUGAAGAACUUAAUUCUAUCAAGUAUCGGAUGAA
rnacentral:rRNA from 1 species